rnacentral:rRNA from 1 species
UACGUAGGGGGCGAGCGUUGUCCGGAAUCAUUGGGCGUAAAGAGCGUGUAGGCGGCUUGGCAAGUCUGACGUGAAAGCCCGCGGCUCAACCGCGGAUUGUCGUUGGAAACUGCCUCGCUAGAGUCCGGAAGAGGAGAGCGGAAUUCCUGGUGUAGCGGUGAAAUGCGCAGAUAUCAGGAGGAACACCAAUGGCGAAGGCAGCUCGCUGGGACGUGACUGACGCUGAGACGCGAAAGCGUGGGGAGCAAACAGG